GUGCCAGCCGCCGCGGUAAAACGUAGGAGCCAAGCGUUAUCCGAAUUCACUGGGCGUAAAGCGCGUGCAGGCGGUCUGGUAAGUUGGAUGUGAAAUCUCCUGGCUCAACUGGGAGAGGCCGUUCAAUACUGUCAGACUAGAGGGCGACAGAGGGAGGUAGAAUUCCCGGUGUAGUGGUGAAAUGCGUAGAUAUCGGGAGGAAUACCAGAGGCGAAGGCGACCUUCUGGGUCGUACCUGACGCUCAGACGCGAAAGCUAGGGGAGCAAACGGGAUUAGAAACCCCCGUAGUCC
rnacentral:rRNA from 1 species